CAUAUACUCCCUCCGUCCGGAAUUACUUGUCGCAAAAAUGAGUAAAAAUGGAUGUAUCUAGAACUAAAAUGCAUCUAGAUACAUCCAUUCCUCCGAUAAGUAUUUCCAGACAGAGGGAGUAAUAU
rnacentral:pre_miRNA from 1 species